rnacentral:rRNA from 1 species
CCUACGGGGGCAGCAGUGGGGAAUAUUGGACAAUGGGCGAAAGCCUGAUCCAGCCAUGCCGCGUGUGUGAAGAAGGCCUUCGGGUUGUAAAGCACUUUCAGUGGGGAAGAAAGCCUUGGGGCUAAUACCCUCGAGGAAGGACAUCACCCACAGAAGAAGCACCGGCUAACUCCGUGCCAGCAGCCGCGGUAAUACGGAGGGUGCGAGCGUUAAUCGGAAUUACUGGGCGUAAAGCGCGCGUAGGCGGUCUGAUAAGCCGGUUGUGAAAGCCCCGGGCUCAACCUGGGAACGGCAUCCGGAACUGUCAGGCUAGAGUACAGGAGAGGAAGGUAGAAUUCCCGGUGUAGCGGUGAAAUGCGUAGAGAUCGGGAGGAAUACCAGUGGCGAAGGCGGCCUUCUGGACUGACACUGACGCUGAGGUGCGAAAGCGUGGGUAGCAAACAGGAUUAGAUACCCUAGUAGUC